UCAAAGCCAAAUAAUCAAUCUAUAAAAAUAAUCGAGAAUUUAUAUAUGUCGUUAACGAACGACUUGCAUAACAAUUUAUAAUUGUUCAUCAAAAGCGUUCAUGUAUUUUGAUUUUAAUUAUCUUACCAGAGUAUCACGGUUGGCCUUUGCAUCACGUAUCCAGUUUUCUAAGAUAUCCAGUUCCUCUUUAUUGUUCAGUGGAUGAGUGGGGAUGACGGAAAAAUCAGCUGUAGGUCCAUCGCCGUUUGUCGCCUUCAGAUUGUGAAGAACAGAUUUAAUAUCUUUUAUGUCAAUAUUUUGUCUUUCCAAAAUUUCAAAACACUGUUUUUGAAAGCCUGCAUAAUAUGUAGAAUAAACAAUGAUUGCUCAUAAUAAUAUAAAUGUUGGAAUUACUAAUUAAUGUAAAAUAUUUACCUAGAAUUAAUUUCUUCAAAUCUUGUAUUUCUUGGAAGGAAGUCAGCAAAAUUGCGCCACCUUCCUCAUUCACGAGUUGUACUUCCGAGUCGGGAGGAUGAUUUGGAGGAGUGGCUUGAAAAACAAAUAUUUAAUCCAAAGUUACGCUUGGAGGGACCACGGCGAUAUCACCUUCCUCCUCCUCCCCACUACUGUCAGAUGAAAUUUUGGGUGGAUUCCCCUCAAUUAAUGCUUGGGGGACGUUAUUUCUUCGACGAUGUGGGGGUUCCUCCUCGGAGUCACUCUCAAUGUUGGAAGUUUCCUCUGCCACCUUCAGCUUUUCACAUGCAAUUUCCCAAGAGGCUAAAAUAAAAAUUUGUUUAGGAAAUAGAAAUUAAAAAUAAUUUAAUGGCCAAGUAAAUAAGUGAAUACAAUUACCGUAUUUUCCUAAGAUUUUUUCAAAAUUUUGUUGUCGCCAUGAUGGGAGUGGGAGGGAGGAGCCUUUUUUAGACAAACUCUUUAAUUUUGCUGCUGGGGGCCAACAUACCACCUUCUCUGUCUCGUCAAUCCAUGACAGUGGUACAAUUUCAACUAAUUUCGUCCCCUUGACGUCAAUUUGUAAAAUUGAAAACUUUAAUGAGUCAGACAUUUUGAACACGUUGAAUAAAAAUGAAGUAAGAAAAUGCACGCGCUCCCAAGAGAGAGCAAAACUCAA